AGUGAACGCUGGCGGUAGGCCUAACACAUGCAAGUCGAACGGCAGCACAGUAAGAGCCUGCUCUUACGGGUGGCGAGUGGCGGACGGGUGAGGAAUACAUCGGAAUCUACUUUUUCGUGGGGGAUAACGUAGGGAAACUUACUCUAAUACCGCAUACGACCUACGGGUGAAAGCAGGGGAUCUUCGGACCUUGCGCGAUUGAAUGAGCCGAUGUCGGAUUAGCUAGUUGGCGGGGUAAAGGCCCACCAAGGCGACGAUCCGUAGCUGGUCUGAGAGGAUGAUCAGCCACACUGGAACUGAGACACGGUCCAGACUCCUACGGGAGGCAGCAGUGGGGAAUAUUGGACAAUGGGCGCAAGCCUGAUCCAGCCAUACCGCGUGGGUGAAGAAGGCCUUCGGGUUGUAAAGCCCUUUUGUUGGGAAAGAAAAGCAGCAGGUUAAUACCCCGCUGUUCUGACGGUACCCAAAGAAUAAGCACCGGCUAACUUCGUG
rnacentral:rRNA from 1 species